rnacentral:rRNA from 1 species
UGAGGAACAUGACCUUCGGCGGGGGAUAGCCGGCCCAACGGCCGGGUAAUACCGCGUACGACCUUUUGGGGACAUCCCCGAUUGGUGAAAGCAGCAAUGCGCCGAAAGAGUGCCUCGCGGCCUAUCAGCUAGUUGGUGGGGUAAUGGCUCACCAAGGCGACGACGGGUAGCUGGUCUGAGAGGAUGGCCAGCCACAUUGGGACUGAGACACGGCCCAGACUCCUACGGGAGCAGCAGG